GAGUUUGAUCCUGGCUCAGAAUGAACGCUGGCGGCAGGCCUAACACAUGCAAGUCGAACGGAGUUAUAUUGUAGCUUGCUAUGGUAUAACUUAGUGGCAGACGGGUGAGUAAUGUAUAGGAAUCUACCUAGUAGUAUGGAAUAAUUGUUGGAAACGGCAACUAAUACCGUAUACGCCCUACGGGGGAAAAAUUUAUUGCUAUUAGAUGAGCCUAUAUUAGAUUAGUUAGUUGGUGAGGUAAAGGCUUACCAAGACAAUGAUCUAUAGCUGAUCUGAGAGGAUGAUCAGCCACACUGGAACUGAGAUACGGUCCAGACUCCUACGGGAGGCAGCAGUGGGGAAUAUUGGACAAUAGGCGAAAGCCUGAUCCAGCCAUGCCGCAUGAGUGAAGAAGGCCUUCGGGUUGUAAAGCUCUUUUAGUGAGGAAGAUAAUGACGGUACUCACAGAAGAAGUCCUGGCUAACUCCGUGCCAGCAGCCGCGGUAAUACGGAGAGGGCUAGCGUUAUUCGGAAUCAUUGGGCGUAAAGGGCGCGUAGGCGGGUUAGUAAGUUAAAAGUGAAAUCCCAAGGCUCAACCUUGGAACUGCUUUUAAAACUGCUAGUCUAGAGAUUGAAAGAGGAUAGAGGAAUUCCUAGUGUAGAGAUGAAAUUCGUAAAUAUUAGGAGGAACACCAGUGGCGAAG
rnacentral:rRNA from 2 species